rnacentral:rRNA from 1 species
AGCUUGCUUCUCUGAUGUUAGCGGCGGACGGGUGAGUAACACGUGGAUAACCUACCUAUAAGACUGGGAUAACUUCGGGAAACCGGAGCUAAUACCGGAUAAUAUUUUGAACCGCAUGGUUCAAAAGUGAAAGACGGUCUUGCUGUCACUUAUAGAUGGAUCCGCGCUGCAUUAGCUAGUUGGUAAGGUAACGGCUUACCAAGGCAACGAUGCAUAGCCGACCUGAGAGGGUGAUCGGCCACACUGGAACUGAGACACGGUCCAGACUCCUACGGGAGGCAGCAGUAGGGAAUCUUCCGCAAUGGGCGAAAGCCUGACGGAGCAACGCCGCGUGAGUGAUGAAGGUCUUCGGAUCGUAAAACUCUGUUAUUAGGGAAGAACAUAUGUGUAAGUAACUGUGCACAUCUUGACGGUACCUAAUCAGAAAGCCACGGCUAACUACGUGCCAGCAGCCGCGGUAAUACGUAGGUGGCAAGCGUUAUCCGGAAUUAUUGGGCGUAAAGCGCGCGUAGGCGGUUUUUUAAGUCUGAUGUGAAAGCCCACGGCUCAACCG